rnacentral:tRNA from 1 species
CGCGGGCGCGGGGUAGAGCAGUUUGGUAGCUCGCAAGGCUCAUAACCUUGAGGUCACGGGUUCAAAUCCCGUCUCCGCAA